rnacentral:rRNA from 1 species
ACACUGUGGUUGGGUGCUCGUCGUGCAGGUCGAGCGAACAGAUAAGGAGCUUGCUCCUUUGACGUUAGCGGCGGACGGGUGAGUAACACGUGGAUAACCUACCUAUAAGACUGGGAUAACUUCGGGAAACCGGAGCUAAUACCGGAUAACAUAUUGAACCGCAUGGUUCAAUAGUGAAAGGCGGCUUUGCUGUCACUUAUAGAUGSAUCCSSSCCGUAUUAAGCGUAGUUKGUARRGUAACGGCUYACCAAGGCAMYGAUAUCGUAGCCGACYUGAGAGGGUGAUCGGCCACACUGGAACUGAGACACSGUCCAGACUCCUACGGGAGGCAGCAGUAGGGAAUCUUCCGCAAUGGGCGAAAGCCUGACGGAGCAACGCCGCKKGAGUGAUGAAGGUCUUCGGAUCGUAAAACUCUGUUAUCAGGGAAGAACAAAUGUGUAAGUAACUGUGCACAUCUUGACGGUACCUGAUCAGAAAGCCACGGCUAACUACGUGCCAGCAGCCGCGGUAAUACGUAGGUGGCAAGCGUUAUCCRGAAUUAUUGGGCGUAAAGCGCGCGUAGGCGGUUUUUUAAGUCUGAUGUGAAAGCCCACGGCUCAACCGUGGAGGGUCAUUGGAAACUGGAAAACUUGAGUGCAGAAGAGGAAAGUGGAAUUUCCAUGUGUAGCGGUGAAAUGCGCAGAGAUAUGGAGGAACACCAGUGGCGAARGCGACUUUCUGGUCUGUAACUGACGCUGAUGUGCGAAAGCGUGGGGAUCAAACAGGAUUAGAUACCCUGGUAGUCCACGCCGUAAACGAUGAGUGCUAAGUGUUAGGGGGUUUCCGCCCCUUAGUGCUGCAGCUAACGCAUUAAGCACUCCGCCUGGGGAGUACGACCGCAAGGUUGAAACUCAAAGGAAUUGACGGGGACCCGCACAAGCGGUGGAGCAUGUGGUUUAAUUCGAAGCAACGCGAAGAACCUUACCAAAUCUUGACAUCCUUUGACYGCUCUAGAGAUAGAGUCUUCCYCUUCGGGGGACAAAGUGACAGGUGGUGCAUGGUUGUCGUCAGCUCGUGUCGUGAGAUGUUGGGUUAAGUCCCGCAACGAGCGCAACCCUUAAGCUUAGUUGCCAUCAUUAAGUUGGGCACUCUAAGUUGACUGCCGGUGACAAACCGGAGGAAGRUGGGGAUGACKUCAAAUCAUCAUGSCCCUUAYGAUUUGGGCUACACACGUGCUACAWUGSACAAUACAAAGGGCAGCUAAACCGCGARGUCAAGCAARUCCCAUAAAGUUGUUCUCAGUUCGGAUUGUAGUCUGCAACUCGACUACAUGAAGCUGGAAUCGCUAGUAAUCGUAGAUCAGCAUGCUACGGUGAAUACGUUCCCGGGUCUUGUACACACCGCCCGUCACACCACGAGAGUUUGUAACACCCGAAGCCGGUGGAGUAACCAUUUAUGAGCUCGCUUUUAGAACCGGGCGACCAGAGCUA